ACCAGCACCUCAAGUGGUCAGGAUGAUUAUUGGGCCUAAAGCAUCCGUAGCCUGCUUUGUUAGUUUUCGGUUAAAUCUGUACGCUUAACGUACAGGCUGCCGGGAAUACUGCAAAGCUAGGGAGUGGGAGAGGUAGACGGUACUCGGUAGGAAGGGGUAAAUCCUUCGAUCUAUUGAUGACCACCUGUGGCGAAGGCGGUCUACCAGAACACGUCCGACGGUGAGGGAUGAAAGCUGGGGGAGCAAACCGGAUUAGAUACCCGGGUAGUCCCAGCUGUAAACCAUGCAAACUCAGUGAUGCAUUGGCUUGUGGCCAAUGCAGUGCUGCAGGGAAGCCGUUAAGUUUGCCGCCUGGGAAGUACGUACGCAAGUAUGAAACUUAAAGGAAUUGGCGGGGAGCACCACAAGGGGUGAAGCCUGCGGUUC
rnacentral:rRNA from 1 species